rnacentral:rRNA from 1 species
GAGGCGGGGCUAACAUGCAAGUCGAACGAUGAAGCCCUUCGGGGUGGAUUAGUGGCGAACGGGUGAGUAACACGUGGGCAAUCUGCCCUUCACUCUGGGACAAGCCCUGGAAACGGGGUCUAAUACCGGAUAACACUCCUGCCUGCAUGGGUGGGGGUUAAAAGCUCCGGCGGUGAAGGAUGAGCCCGCGGCCUAUCAGCUUGUUGGUGGGGUAAUGGCCUACCAAGGCGACGACGGGUAGCCGGCCUGAGAGGGCGACCGGCCACACUGGGACUGAGACACGGCCCAGACUCCUACGGGAGGCAGCAGUGGGGAAUAUUGCACAAUGGGCGAAAGCCUGAUGCAGCGACGCCGCGUGAGGGAUGACGGCCUUCGGGUUGUAAACCUCUUUCAGCAGGGAAGAAGCGAAAGUGACGGUACCUGCAGAAGAAGCGCCGGCUAACUACGUGCCAGCAGCCGCGGUAAUACGUAGGGCGCAAGCGUUGUCCGGAAUUAUUGGGCGUAAAGAGCUCGUAGGCGGCUUGUCGCGUCGGAUGUGAAAGCCCGGGGCUUAACCCCGGGUCUGCAUUCUAUACGGGCAGGCUAGAGUGUGGUAGGG